UGUGCGCGAGUCAAUGGGUCUUGAAUAAGCCCGGCGGCGCAAUGAAAGUAUAGGCCGGCGGAGGUCGGCCGUAUCCGGGAUCCCCGUUCCCUCGCGGGCGGGGCGCACCGGAGACCCGCCGCGUUCCACUCGUGGAAGUGGCGGUGUUUGAGCGCACACGUUGGGACCCGAAAGAUGGCGAACUAUGCCCGGACAGGACGAAGCCAGAGGAAACUCUGGUGGAGGUCCGUAGCGGUUCUGACGUGCAAAUCGAUCGUCAGAUCUGGGUCUAGGGGCGUAAGACUAAUCGAGCCAUCUA
rnacentral:rRNA from 1 species